rnacentral:rRNA from 1 species
CCUACGGGGUGCAGCAGUAGGGAAUCUUUCACAAUGGGCGAAAGCCUGAUGGAGCAACGCCGCGUGCAGGAUGAAGGCCUUCGGGUUGUAAACUGCUUUUAUAAGCGAGAAAUAUGAUGGUAACUUAUGAAUAAGGAUCGGCUAACUACGUGCCAGCAGUCGCGGUCAUACGUAGGAUCCGAGCAUUAUCCGGAGUGACUGGGUGUAAAGAGUUGCGUAGGUGGCAUAAUAAGUAGCUAGUGAAAUCUGGUGGCUCAACCAUUCAGACUAUUAGCUAAACUGUUAAGCUCGAGACCGUUAGGGGUAACUGGAAUUUCUAGUGUAGGAGUGAAAUCCGUAGAUAUUAGAAGGAACACCAAUAGCGUAGGCAGGUUGCUGGGACGGUUCUGACACUAAGGCACGAAAGCGUAGGGAGCAAACGGGAUUAGAUACCCGGGUAGUC